rnacentral:lncRNA from 1 species
ACCCCACUGCUCCUCCUCUCUUCAUUCUUUUCCUCUUCAUCUUUGCUAACAAAAUAGCGACCCCGUCCCACCAUCAUAAUCGUCGGAGUUGACCACCGGCGAUGGCUACUAUUACUGCUGCAACGGGGUGAACGACAAUCCCUAGCCGCUAUCCAGCUCACCGGAAAACGAGCAAAUCUUCCGCUCCUUCACCACCGAACUCGCCGGAACACACAGAGACAGAAAUGCAAGGACACACACACAUAGAGCCGUUCCUGCUUCUUCUUCUUGAACUUUUCUUUGUUUGCUCUUUUUCUCUUUCCAUGACAGGAGAGUCCAUGAAGCCCCAACUAAUGAAAUUAAUUCAUCACUGUCAUUCUCGCAAGUUACUCAAAGAGAUAAGCUGUUUCUGAUCUUAAACCUACACACACCUUAACCUUUCUUCUUCAUCAGUACACUAGCCCCACCCCAUCUCCAACACCAGACGGAACUCUCACACUGACUCGGCAGAAACAGAGGAUUUGGAACAGCUUUCAAGUUGUUGAAACCAUUUGAUUAUGAGCUUGUUCGUUUGUUUUGUUAGUUGAGCUUUGUAGCUUUUUGGCGCUUGUGUUUCAAAAUUGUCGUAACAUUAAGCUUCAGAUUCAUUGAGACGUAGUUGAGUUGAAGUUCGCUCCCAUUCGAGGUUGUCCGUUCAAGGUUUUUCGGGCAGAUUCGCAGUUCUAUCGAGUUUGUCGCUGUCCAAAUUUUUCUGAGUUAAACAUUGUUGAGAUUCAAAAUUACUUUAUUUUAAGGUCUAUUUCUAUACCUUCAUUAUUCUCACUAUU